GUGGGUAUAGCUCAGUGGUAGAGCACAUGCUUAGCACACAUGAGCAUUCAUGAGGUCCUGGGUUCAAUCCCCAGUACUGCCA
rnacentral:tRNA from 1 species